GACAGAGGUCCCGAGCGUUAGGCGGAAUCACUGGGCUUAAAGCGUGUGUAGGCGGACUUCUAAGUACCUUGUGAAAUCCCACGGCUUAACCGUGGAACUGCUUGGUAUACUGGUUGUCUUGGGCCAUCUAGGGGCUACUGGAACAAACGGUGGAGCGGUGAAAUGCGUAGAUAUCGCUUGGAACGCCGAAGGUGAAAACAGGCUGCUGGGGUUGCGCCGACGCUGAGACACGAAAGCCAGGGGAGCAAACGGG
rnacentral:rRNA from 1 species